UUUGAAUUUAAUCGUAGUAACGGUUCGG
rnacentral:sRNA from 1 species